CACUUAGUGGGGAAAUUGAUUCACAAUUUCUGGAAUUGGAUCCCUCAAGAGUCUGAACCUUAGCCAAAACAAUUUCACAUGGGUUGUUCCUCUAAACAUAGGAAAAUUGUUUCUUUUAGAGGAACUACAGCUCUCUUUUCCUCAUAAGUUUAGACCUUAGUUAUAACACGUUGACUGGGACAAUCCCAUCUAAUUUCCCGGCCGGAACAAAUUUGCGAAGGAUUUAACUAAUGAAAACAGAAUUAUCCGCCUAUGUUGACAGGUACAAUCCCAUUCUGUUUUAAUUAGCUGAAUUCAUUUAAGUAGUUGCUUGAAAAUAUGAUUUCUUGGUAGUGGUCGAUUGGUAUUAAAUGUUUGAGAGGAGGAUCCCAACAAGUGGACUAAGUAGGAGUAAGGUCGACAAAAUUCUUCUGUGUUUGAAAAUAAUCUCCAUAUUAUCGAUGUUGAAAAGUAUAUUCUUUUGUUUUUUCGUGAGCACCAACUUGUGAGCUCCUGAUUAAUAAUUAUGUAAUAUAUUUAUUAAAAAAUUUGUCUAUAAAGUCUUGGUAGGUUGUAAGCUACUCAACAGAACUCACACCUCUCUUUCUUUUUUGAAUAUGGAGUUGUUCAUUGCAAUCUACAUUGUUUUUCUCUUUUAUGUUUUCAUUCGACUUUGCAAAAGAUUCUUGGGGCAGAAAAAUAAUUGCUGCUACAUGCUAAAUUAUGAAUGCUACAAGGCCACUGACAGAAAGGUAGACAUCGAAUCCUCUUGUAGAAUCGUUUUGAGAAACAAGAAUCUUGGUUGGGAUGAAUACAAGUUUCUUUUAAAAACCAUGGUCAGUUCAGACAUUGGUGAACAAACUUAUUGUCCCAAAAAUGUCAUUAUGGGUAGAGAGGAGAAUCCCAAUUUCUACAAUUCCUUCUCUAGUAGCCCACAAGAGUGAAGCUCUUGAAGACCCCAAAAAUUGAAGUAGUAUAUUAAAAAACUACACGUACUAAUUGAUAAAAUCGAAGUUUUAUAUUUUAGUUUUGCUUAACAGGUUAUGGUAAGGCAGUUCUAAUACGCUAUGUUUUGUUUACUUUGAUGUAUAUUUAAUAUAGCUUCAACAUGGAUAGUCACAGAGUUAGGAAUAAAAAACCACCGACGAGAAUGAACAUGCUUUUAUCAAAAUUAUUUACGAGAAAGUUAAAUCAAACACAUUGUAAUGUUCUACAUUCACGAAAGACGAAUGGGACAGGAUCACGAAAGACGAAUGGGACAGGAUCAAUGAAGUCAUGAUAGUUUCAACAAAAAUGGAUUACGGCAUAGAUAGAUUGAAGGGAAAGUGGAACCGCUUACGUAAGAUUUGUCGCAUGUUCUCUGAACAUUUGGGACAUAUAGGUGUUACAUGAGAUCCAAACACCAACAAAGUUAAUGCUGCAGAGGAAGUUUGGCAACACUUUUAUACGAUUAACAAGUUGGAUUACAAAUUGUUCGGGAGGGAAUGAUGUAAGUACUACCACACUCUUGGGGAGAUAUUUAGCGAGACUACAGCUACUUGAAGAUUAGCCAGUGCCUCCACUCAGCUUCCAAACACAUCAGAGGAAGAAAGAUAGCUAGAAGAUGAUUUUUGGAAUAGGAGAGUGCAUGUACAUGCGGAAAAUGAUGAUGAAGUUGAUGUGGUUUCAAGUACUCGUUGACAUAACGAAAUUGGUACAUCGGGUGAACGGCGACGUAAGGAACUUAAGACCUAUAAAUUAAUAAACUUGAGGCCCGCGUGGCACAGUGGUCAUCUACAAUUAGUUUGAGGAAUGAAGAAACUAAACUUAGAACUCUUUACCUAAAAGAAAGCUUGUAAAGAUAUAAGGAAAAUCAAUUAAUCAAUCGGAUAGUGAAGUUAAUAGUCUGGAUCCUAUUCAAAUGUUAUCUGCUUGGACAUCUUAAACAAUAUGGAAGGGGUGUCCAACGAGGUUUAUAUAAAAGCAAUAAAGGCUUUUAAGGAUCCCGAUUUCAGGGUAUCAUUUGUGAAAAUACCAAAAGCAAGGAGGGGACCUAUAUUGGAACUACUUUAAUGUGACUGUUGUGUUAAUUUCUUUAGUAUUGUGUUGUUUUAAUUUGUAAUUACUUUGUGUUGUUUUUAACUAUCUUGGAACUACUUUGUGUUGUUUUGAAUUCUUUAGUAUUGUGGUGAGGUUGUACUGUUUUCAUUUAUGAACAUAGUGGUGUUGAACA